UGGUAGGAAAAUCCGCCAGAGAUGCUGAAGCCUGAUAGUACCUUGAGUCGUAAGACAAGAGGAUAUGCACCUAAGUCAGCUUCCAAGAAAAUCCUCUAAACUUCAGGUAGAAGCAACCCGUACCGCAAACCGACACAGGUAGUCAAGGAGAGAAUCCUGAGGCGCUCGAGUGAACCGUGGUUAAGAAACUAGGCAAAUUGACCCUGUAACUUCGGGAUAAAGGGUGCCCACAGUAAUGUGGGCCGCAGUGAAAUGGCGAUGGCGACUGUUUAACAAAAACACAUGGCUUUGCGAAAUCGAAAGAUGAAGUAUAAGGCCUGACACCUGCCCGGUGCCGGAAGGUUAAGAGGAGAUGUUAGAAGCAAUUCGAAGCAUUGAAUUGAAGCCCCGGUAAACGGCGGCCGUAACAAUAACGGUCCUAAGGUAGCGAAAUUCCUUGUCGGGUAAGUUCCGACCUGCACGAAUGGUGUAACGAUCUUCGCACUGUCUCAACCACGAGCUCGGUGAAAUUGUGGUAUCAGUGAAGACGCUGAUUACCCGUCACGGGACGGAAAGACCCCAUGCACCUUCACUAUAGUUUAACAUUGACGCUGGAUAAUUGAUGUGUAGAAUAGGUGGGAGGCUUUGAAGCAGCGGCGCUAGCCGUUGUGGAGCCACCGUUGAAAUACCACCCUUUAAUUAUUUGGCGUCUAACUCCGCAGGGAGGACAUUGUUUGAUGGGUAGUUUGACUGGGGUGGUCGCCUCCGAAAGAGUAUCGGAGGCUUUCAAAGAUUCGCUCAGUACGCUUGGUAACCGUACGUAGAGUGCAAUAGCAUAAGCGAGUUUGACUGUGAGGCCGACAAGCCAAGCAGGGUCGAAAGACGGAUAUAGUGAUCCGGCGGUUCCGCAUGGAAGGGCCGUCGCUCAUAGGAUAAAAGGUACGCUGGGAUAACAGGCUGAUCCCUCCCAAGAGCUCACAUCGACGGGGGGGUUUGGCACCUCGAUGUCGGCUCGUCACAUCCUGGGGCUGGAGAAGGUCCCAAGGGUUCGGCUGUUCGCCGAUUAAAGUGGCACGCGAGCUGGGUUCAGAACGUCGUGAGACAGUUCGGUCCCUAUCUGUGAUGGGCGUUAGAAAAUUGAGAGGAGCUGACUCUAGUACGAGAGGACCGAGUCGGACAAACCGCUAGUGUACCAGUUGUGGCGCCAGCUGCAUCGCUGGGUAGCUAUGUUUGGAUGAGAUAAGCGCUGAAAGCAUCUAAGUGCGAAACUC
rnacentral:rRNA from 1 species